GCAUGAAGCUUUCAGGAAAGCUGCCAUCACCCGACGCUCCUCGACGGCACGGGUUUGGGGUGCUGUGUGAAGUCAGGUAUCAAGCUUCUGCCAAGGGCGGAGCGGAUGGAUGUUCCGAGCAGGCCCUGCAGGGAGACGCGGCACGGUGGGAGAGCAUCUCGGACGAGGAGCUGACGUCGGUAGGGUCUCCCGGGGUCGAGCCUCCAGUCCCGGCCGAACCGUCUGGAGCAGCCCAGGCUGGAGGGCAGAGGAUGACAGAAGGACUGGGAAGUGAUUCCACUCUCAAUUCGCCCCUCCGUCGGGCAAGAAGGCUCACUGGACCGGGGCAGCGGGAAACAGAGGGAGCCACACCUAAGGGGACAGGGACACGCUCCCGCGGGAGAGGACGCAAACCCAGCGUCCCGUGAAGGCGGACACUAGGUCAACGCCGCGGAAAGGAAGACGGGGGAGAGUGCGGCCCACCCGCCAUGGGAUGGGCGCAGCCACCACGCGGGUGACAGGCGAGCCGCGCACGAAGUCAGGCCCCGGACGGAGCCCGCGUCGAGCAGCGACUCCGAAACCCUAAGGCCUCUGCCGUUGCCGCCACGCACGCCUGUGUCUCCGCGGGUCUGUGUGGGGUUGAGUGGGUCCGGGGGGGAGGGGGGAGGUGCCCCGAGGUGGGCGGCGUGGGUUUGCAGGGGCACAAGGUGUGGGGGGCGGACACUGAGGGCGACCACGGCAGAAUGCACGUGAGCCCAAGGCCGCGCGAGGGCGCAAGGGGCACAGACAGGGCGUCCACCUGUGCGUGCAAGGGACAGAUGUGUGGGUGCGGGGGUGGGGGGCGUGCUGUGAGAGUGGCCGUGUGGAGGCGUGGAGGGGUGUGCAGAUGCGUGAGGGUGUAUGGGGAGAGGUGUGCGUGUGGGUAGGCACUUGUCUGUGAGUGUGGGGGGCGGACGGGGGUGAGAGUGGGUGUGCAUGCGUGUUAUACGUGUUUGUAGAUUACAUGAGCGUGUACGAGUAGGUGCAUGGAUGGGUAUGAGGGUGUGUGUGUGCGUGUGUGAGGGGUGUGUGUGCGUGUGUGAGGGGUGUGUGUGCGUGUGUGAGGGGUGUGUGUGCGUGUGUGAGGGGUGUGUGUGCGUGUGUGAGGGGUGUGUGUGCGUGUGUGAGGGGUGGGGGCGAGUGUGCGGGGCGUGGCUAGAAGUGAGCGGGAGACGUGGGGGGUGGCCGUGCGCCCGAAGGGGCGCAGGAGAAGCCGGGGGGCCGCCGAGCCCUAGGGGCGGGUCUCGGGGUGGCGGGUGUCCAGAUGGCCCGCAUUAUCUCCUUUACAUCAUCGCGGACUUUUCACAUUUCCAGAUCCUCCGUGCCGGGCAUGUAUUAUUUAUACGAUACGAAAGUUCUUCUGCGGUGGAAAGAGAUUGGGGUGGGGGUCCGCUAUCGAGAGCACCCCCUUCUAUCCCAGGCUGCAGGAGGAGGCAGCGUGGCGAGGAAUCACCGUACUAUUUACAUAACCAGCUCCCCGCGUGGGCUCUCGGUGGUUCUCCAUCGUGGCCUGUGGCAGUGAGUUACCUCCGGGUGGUCCACGGCCCUGCCCACGGUCUUUCUGGGGGAGGGGGGGUUGUGAGCGUCAUGAGGUCACACGUAUGAAGCCCCAGACGGGGGCCUGCCCACAGCUGGGGCUCCGGGAAGUGCUCGCUGAACCCGCUGGGCUGGGCGUGGGACCCACUACUGUGUGUGGGGAGGGUGAGGGGUGGGGCCCUGCGGCAGGGACACCGAGCAGUGUAGGGGGACGUUCCUGGGAAGAGGCUCCAGCUGGCACCCUGCACGGGGGUGGGCCACAAACGCGGCCUGCUGGGCCAUCCCUUCCAGGACCAAAAGGGGCGAGCCCGCCAGACCGUGGGGUUCCCACGCUGGCGCUGGCCGGCUGAGGUUUCCAGAAACUUGCCCCCCCCCCCCCAGCGCCUGGGAAGAGGUUCCCCACACUGUGGUCCCCGCCCUUAUUCCAGACUCAUUUCUCCAAGUCACUUCCGAUCAAGGUCACGGGCAGCCCAAGCUGUCUGAGGGUCCCCAGCGGCUGGGAGGUAACUCUGAGCACAAGUCUGCUCCAUUGAGGAAACCAAGCCCCGCUUCCCCUGCACGGUCCCCUUCAUACUGGACCCAGACGUGCCUGCCCCCCUGAGCCUCAGAGACCACAGCGUCGCAGGUCUUUAUUGAGGGAGGAACCGGCAGCAUCCCGCCAGGUGCAACUAUGCAACAUGUCAUCACGCUCCAGAACAGUCCUGACAUGUCCAUCCAAGGGGUGUUUUCUGGAGCAGCAGUUUUGGAGACAGUGUCUCCGGCCCCAGGGAGCCCGGUUAUGCGCAUUUCCCAGGGGAGAAAGUGCUUUUCGCUGGGUCCCGGAGGUGGGCGCUCUGCAGGGCUGGGACCCAAAUUCUCACAUGGCCCUGAAAUGCGCUGAGAAAAAAAAAACAAAAAAAACAAAAACAACCUGACGGGUGGAUGGAGGGCCGGAUAGACUGGCAGAUGUGGAAAAGCAAACAUGCUAACGGGAAGAAUCUAGAUGUAGGCGUUUGGGUGUUCUCUGGCCAAUUCUUUCAACUUUCGCACGUUUGAAAGUUUUCAGAAUAAAAUGUUGGGGAGAAAACA
rnacentral:lncRNA from 1 species